rnacentral:rRNA from 1 species
AUACGGAGGGUGCAAGCGUUGUCCGGAUUUAUUGGGUUUAAAGGGUGUGUAGGCGGUGUAUUAAGUCAGUGGUGAAAGCCUGCGGCUCAACCGUAGAACUGCCAUUGAUACUGACACACUUGAGUAUGGACGAGGUAGGCGGAAUUUAUGGUGUAGCGGUGAAAUGCAUAGAUACCAUAAAGAACACCGAUAGCGAAGGCAGCUUACUAGGCCAUAACUGACGCUGAGGCACGAAAGCGUGGGGAGCGAACAGGAUGAGAAACCCCAGUAGUCC